rnacentral:misc_RNA from 1 species
GAAAUAAUAGUUGUAUUAUUGAUUUGAUGAAUACCUAUCAAUUACAAAUUUACAAUGGAAAGGGCUAUUUAUAUCAUUCACUAACUGCUUAGUCAUAACAUUCACCACCUCUUAAAAUCAUUCUUGUCCUCAAAAAUGAAUAAAGGAACAAAAAUGAGCAAAAACAUAUUGCAAUUAUAGACGACCUGCUACUACUACGUCUUGUAAUGAAUUGUAAUGUUCAAGACUACUUUGCUGAAACUGGACUUUCUUCCUUCAUAUUUGCCUUUCUUUCUCUGCCUUCUCCAUCU